UCCACAGGAAAACCAACAACAAUAUAUCCAAUCAGACAAUGGUUUGUGAUCAUGUCAUCUUUGGGCAGGUAACAAAACACACAAAGAAGAAAACAUGUCACGUAUGAUUACACCGCAUAGAGCACGUUAGAAAGUUGUGCUGCUGAGUCCAAAGUUUGGUUCCUGCGUGGA
rnacentral:lncRNA from 1 species